GUUUGGUGAGGACAGGGACAGAAGUCCAGCCAGGGGCCCUGAACCCAUCAGCCACAGCAUCCACCCCAGCUUUAGCCCCUGCCAUCUGGCUUCCUGCCAUUCCCCCCAUCCUUUAGUCUGGUCUGACUGAACAGGUUUUUGGAAGAGGCCAAGGUCACCCUGGGGCCGACCUCCACAGAUGGAUUCAGCCUGAGACUACAGCUGCGGUCCAGCUCAACCAUGAAUGCCCAGGGCCAAUACAUACUCCUUCAUCGUGGUGGAUCAUCGUUAAGCCAAAUGAGGUCUGGGACUCAACCAGGUUCAAUUCAUUUCGAUCCAGCAAACUUCUACUAAGUGUCUGGAAUGCACCAACCUGACUCUGAAGGUAAACGGAUGUCUAUGGCAGUGUUCCCCCCAAGGUGGAAAAAUGGGCUAGCUAGAGCAGGGCUCGGCAACCUACAGCCCCCAGGUCAAAUGUGACCCACUGCCUGGUUUUGUAUAGCCUACAAGCUAAGAAUGGUUCUCACUUUUACACCUGUGGUUUUUUUUUUUUUUAAUCA
rnacentral:lncRNA from 12 species